AGGAAAAACUUAUCAUAAAAAAUGAUAAAACCAAUAGUAAUCUGGAGUCAUUGUGAUGAGAGGCACAAAACUUGUAGCCUCCCUAUAAAUAAAUUCCCUACAUGU
ensembl:snoRNA